rnacentral:rRNA from 1 species
CACGUAGGGCGCAAGCGUUGUCCGGAAUUAUUGGGCGUAAAGAGCUCGUAGGCGGUCUGUUGCGUCCGCUGUGAAAACUCGGGGCUUAACCCCGAGCCUGCAGUGGAUACGGGCAGACUAGAGGUAGGUAGGGGAGAAUGGAAUUCCCGGUGUAGCGGUGAAAUGCGCAGAUAUCGGAAGGAACAUCAGUGGCGAAAGCGGCUUCCUGGUCCAGCACCGACGUUCAGGCACCGAA